rnacentral:rRNA from 1 species
AUUGAACGCUGGCGGCAGGCCUAACACAUGCAAGUCGAACGAGUGGCGGACGGGUGAGUAAUGUCUGGGAAACUGCCCGAUGUAGGGGGAUAACUACUGGAAACGGUAGCUAAUACCGCAUACCAUCGGAUGUGCCCAGAUGGGAUUAGCUAGUAGGUGGGGUAACGGCUCACCUAGGCGACGAUCCCUAGCUGGUCUGAGAGGGUGACCGGCCACACUGGAACUGAGACACGGUCCAGACUCCUACGGGAGGCAGCAGUAGGGAAUAUUGCGCAAUGGGCGAAAGCCUGAUGGAGCAAUGCCGCGUGAGUGAAGAAGGCCUUCGGGUUGUAAAAUACUGUCGGCGAGGAGGCGUUACUCGAAGAGGAAGCAACGGCUAACUCCGUGCCAGCAGCCGCGGUAAUAC